AAAUUGAUAAUAAAAAAUCUAGUACUCUUUGGUCACGUAUAUGCGCUCUGUCGGAUAAUGGAUUACAUACCUCAUUAUCAAAGCUAGAUGAUCAUAUAAAUAAUAUUAUAACAAAUUCAAGUCUUCAAUGCUUCAGAAUAUAGUUUAUAAUAUUCUGACGAGAUUUGCAGGCUCCGUCAAUAAUUCGAAUUUAAUAUGACGGGCUACCUCGUAUUAUAUUACCUCCAAAGAACAAAACUAGUUAAUCCAACGCUAUAAAUAAAAUAAUUUUCAAAUCGUUUAAGAGAAGAAUAAAUAAAUAAACUAAUUUUGUAGCUAGUCAGUCAAAAUGCAUUUUACCAAACUUAGAUUGAAAACAUUUGUUGAUUAUACUUGAAGUUGUUUAUUAUGAAAUAUACAAUCAUGAAAAAAUUAAAUUAUUAGAAUAUCUUAAAAAUUGUAAACCCUCUCAAAAGUAAAACCAAGGAUAAUGAAUUGAACAAUAAGUGAUAGAAGAUGGCCUAUAAUAACAAAAACUCUAUUAUUUAUUAGCCUACUAGUGAUGUUUUAUUUGCUAAUGUUUAGGCAUUUAGAACGAUUUAGUUUAAUAUUCUGAUUAAGAAUAAAUAAAAAAAUG